AGUGGCGAACGGGAGAGUAACGCGUGGGGAACCUGCCCUUCAGCGGGGGACAACAGUUCUAACGAGCUGCUAAUACCGCAUACGACCUGGCGACCGCAUAAUCACCAGGUAAAAGAUGGCCUCUGCUUGCAAGCUGUCACUGAAGGAUGGUCCCGCGUCCCAUUAGUUUGUUGGUGGGGUAAUGGCCUACCAAGACUACGAUGGGUAGCCGGCCUGAGAGGGUGUCCGGCCUCACUGGGACUGAGAUACGGCCCAGACUCCUACGGGAGGCAGCAGUCGAGAAGCUUCGGCAAUGGACGAAAGUCUGACCGAGCGACGCCGCGUGAGCGAUGAAGGCCCUAGUGGUCGUAAAGCUCUGUCAGGAGGGAACAAAUGCCUGUGGUGAAUACCCGCAGGAGUUGAAGGUACCUCCAGAGGAAGCGCCGGCUAACUACGUGCCAGCAGCCGCGGUAAUACGUAGGGCGCAAACGUUGCUCGGAUUUACUGGGUUUAAAGGGUUCGUAGGCGGGCUGAUAAGUCAGAGGUGAAAGCCAACGGCUCAACCGUUGAAUGGCCUCUGAUACUGUCAGUCUUGAGUCCGUUAGGGGAUAGUGGAAUUCCUGGUGUAGCGGUGAAAUGCGUAAAUAUCAGGAGGAACACCAGUGGCGAAGGCGGCUAUCUGGGACGGAACUGACGCUGAGGAACGAAAGCUAGGGUAUCAAACGGGAUUAGAUACCCCGGUAGUCCUAGCUGUAAACGAUGGGCACUAGGUGUUGGAGGAGUCUACCCCUUCAGUGCCGCAGCUAACGCAUUAAGUGCCCCACCUGGGGAGUACGAUCGCAAG
rnacentral:rRNA from 1 species